rnacentral:tRNA from 1 species
GGGUGUGUAGCUCAGAUGGUUAGAGCGCUACGUUGACAUCGUAGAGGUCACAAGUUCGAGUCUUGUCAUACCCACCA